CCUACGGGCGGCAGCAGUAGGGAAUCUUCCACAAUGGGCGAAAGCCUGAUGGAGCAACGCCGCGUGGGUGAAGAAGGUCUUCGGAUCGUAAAACCCUGUUGUUAGAGAAGAAAGUGCGUGAGAGUAACUGUUCACGUUUCGACGGUAUCUAACCAGAAAGCCACGGCUAACUACGUGCCAGCAGCCGCGGUAAUACGUAGGUGGCAAGGUUUAUCCGGAUUGAUUGGGCGUAAAGGGAACGCAGGCGGUCUUUUAAGUCUGAUGUGAAAGCCUUCGGCUUAACCGGAGUAGUGCAUUGGAAACUGGGAGACUUGAGUGCAGAAGAGGAGAGUGGAACUCCAUGUGUAGCGGUGAAAUGCGUAGAUAUAUGGAAGAACACCAGUGGCGAAAGCGGCUCUCUGGUCUGUAACUGACGCUGAGGUUCGAAAGCGUGGGUAGCAAACAGGAUUAGAUACCCGGGUAGUC
rnacentral:rRNA from 1 species